GCCAGUGUGGCAUAGUGGUUGGGUGUAGGACCACAACUCUGGAGACCAGGGUUUGAUGCCCUGCUCAGCCA